GUCCACGCCCUAAACGAUGUCAACUAGUUGUCGGGACUUAAUUGUCUUGGUAACGCAGCUAACGCGUGAAGUUGACCGCCUGGGGAGUACGGUCGCAAGAUUAAAACUCAAAGGAAUUGACGGGGACCCGCACAAUCGGUGGAUGAUGUGGAUUAAUUCGAUGCAACGCGAAAACCUUACCUACCCUUUACAUGGAUCGAAUCCUACAGAGAUGUGGGAGUGCUCGCAAGAGAACGGUCGCACAGGUGCUGCAUGGCUGUCGU
rnacentral:rRNA from 1 species